rnacentral:rRNA from 1 species
CCUACGGGUGGCAGCAGUGAGGAAUAUUGGUCAAUGGACGAGAGUCUGAACCAGCCAAGUAGCGUGAAGGAUGACUGCCCUAUGGGUUGUAAACUUCUUUUAUAUGGGAAUAAAACGUUCCACGUGUGGGAUUUUGUAUGUACCAUAUGAAUAAGGAUCGGCUAACUCCGUGCCAGCAGCCGCGGUAAUACGGAGGAUCCGAGCGUUAUCCGGAUUUAUUGGGUUUAAAGGGAGCGUAGGUGGAUUGUUAAGUCAGUUGUGAAAGUUUGCGGCUCAACCGGAAAAUUGCAGUUGAAACUGGCAGUCUUGAGUACAGUAGAGGGGGGCGGAAUUCGUGGUGUAGCGGUGAAAUGCUUAGAUAUCACGAAGAACUCCGAUUGCGAAGGCAGUUCACUGGACUGCAACUGACACUGAGGCUCGAAAGUGUGGGUAUCAAACAGGAUUAGAUACCCUUGUAGUC